rnacentral:rRNA from 1 species
AUUGAACGCUGGCGGCAUGCCUUACACAUGCAAGUCGAACGGCAGCACGGGAGCAAUCCUGGUGGCGAGUGGCGAACGGGUGAGUAAUAUAUCGGAACGUGCCCAGUCGUGGGGGAUAGCGUAGCGAAAGCUACGCUAAUACCGCAUACGAUCUAUGGAUGAAAGCGGGGGAUCGCAAGACCUCGCGCGAUUGGAGCGGCCGAUAUCAGAUUAGGUAGUUGGUGAGGUAAAGGCUCACCAAGCCGACGAUCUGUAGCUGGUCUGAGAGGACGACCAGCCACACUGGGACUGAGACACGGCCCAGACUCCUACGGGAGGCAGCAGUGGGGAAUUUUGGACAAUGGGCGCAAGCCUGAUCCAGCAAUGCCGCGUGCAGGAUGAAGGCCUUCGGGUUGUAAACUGCUUUUGUACGGAACGAAACGGCGAGCUCUAAUACAGUUUGCUAAUGACGGUACCGUAAGAAUAAGCACCGGCUAACUACGUGCCAGCAGCCGCCGUAA